CGCCACUGAUAAAGAACACUUACACUUUGCAUAAGUUACAAGAUAUAAUAAACAAAACACUGGCGUAUAAAAACUGUUCCAAUAUGUAAACUGGAUUGUUUUGUUAAAGAGGGAAAAUAGAACGGCAGAUUUCUGGUAACCUGUUAGGUCAUUCUCAUAACCAAAAUCCAGUCGGACAACUAAGUUUUUGAUGCGAAGUCACAAUUUGACACAUGUAAUCACCUUCUCUAAACAUAAUUUUUUAAAGCUUCUACAAUUAACUAAUUAUUUUUAAAGUGUUUUCGUUACGUUUUUGAAUCUGAAUUGUUCUAAAAAAAAACGUCCCGGUUGUUUAAGGAGUUAUUACAAGUCUGUUUUUGACAAAAUCUUGCAAAGACAACUUGUUCUUCAAUGAAAAAUAUCAUUAUAUCUAGUAUGGGAACCAAUCUUCGAUGAAAAGUAAUUGAAUAGUAUUUUUGAUCAACACUUAUUAGAGGAUGGCUUGGAUUUGAAAUAACAUUUAAUUAUUUAUCGAAACAGCCCUAUUGUCAACAGGAAGUUCUAAUUGAAGGGAGACCAUUUUGGCAGGAAAUCUUCAAAAAUCAGUACUGUCAAAUCUUAUGAUAUAUUUCUGACGGCAAUGAUUUAAAUAUUAUGAAGUUAUCAUACAUUAUCUUUUAUAGACUCAAACAUAACAUAUAGGAUUACAUAAAAAGGCUUUAUUAGUAUAUGAAAAGAAUAUUUAAGUUUUAUUUUAUUAACUUUAAUAGAAAUUGGUUGUAUAUGGAGAAAACAAUACCAUGCUUUCUGCAAAUGAAAACCCUCUCAUCAUUGAGGUGUCCAGUCAGGGGGGUACUUUGAAUCUGAGGCCUUGUAUAUGGAGAGAACAAUUGAAAACAUCUACUUGAAAGUGGGUCUCAUUGGGGUCUAAGCGUGACGCGGGAUUGCCGAUUUUUGGUAAGCGUGACACGGGAAAGUCAAAUUAUUGUGUCGUGAAAACGGGAAAUGAGGUCUAGCGGGACCCGGGAAUGACUGAAAAAAAAUGAGAAUUGCUUACGUACAAUAGUGUAAGCGGGAUACGGGAAUCUGACAAAACAGUAAGCGGGAUCCGGGAUCGGAACCCCCCAAUGAGACCCCCUU
rnacentral:lncRNA from 1 species